UUUUGCGAGAUUUUCGCACGAGCAGCGCAGGCCGCCCGCUCCGGUGGGUGGCUGGGCCGCUUUCGCCCGGCUGGCGACCGAGGUGGUUACUGCUUGCAGUGGCCUGCCGACGGUGUCUUUUGCCGGUCGGGGGAGAGGCCGGUCGCACCUUGCGCUGCGGUCGUUGGUGACCGAAUGCNNNNNNNNNUUGAAACACGGACCAAGGAGUGCAACAUGCGUGCGAGUCUUUGGGUGUCAAACCCGUCGGCGCAAUGAAAGUGAAGGCAGGCGUUUCGGCCUGCUGUGGCGAGAGCUCCUCGCCCCUCGGGGCAGGGAGCGCAUCGUCGACCGAUCCCGGGCUACGCUGUGGCGGGAUUUGAGUGAGAGCGUGCCUGUUGCGACCCGAAAGAUGGUGAACUAUGCCUGAAUAGGGUGAAGCCAGAGGAAACCCUGGUGGAAGCUCGCAGCGAUUCUGACGUGCAAAUCGAUCGUCAAAUUUGGGUAUAGGGGCGAAAGACUAAUCGAACCAUCUAGUAGCUGGUUCCCUCCGAAGUUUCCCUCAGGAUAGCUGGAGCCCGGUGGCAGUUUUAUCAGGUAAAGCGAAUGAUUAGAGGUCUUGGGGCCGAAACGGUUUCAACCUAUUCUCAAACUUUAAAUGGGUAAGAAGCCUGGCUUGCUCGGUUGAAGUCGGGCGCAGAAUGCCGGGGCUCCCAGUGGGCCAUUUUUGGUAAGCAGAACUGGCGAUGUGGGAUGAACCGAAAGUCGGGUUAAGGUGCCGGAAUCGACGCUCAUCAGAUCCCAUGAAAGGUGUUGGUUGAUACAGACAGCAGGACGGUGGCC
rnacentral:rRNA from 1 species